CCAUGUGACCUACCCAUGAGCAGGGUGAAGGUGAGGUAAAACUCACUGGAGGCCCGAACCAGGGCACGUUGAAAAGUGCUUGGAUGACUUGUGGGUAGCGGAGAAAUUCCAAACGAACUUGGAGAUAGCUGGUUCUCUCCGAAAUAGCUUUAGGGCUAGCGUCGAUGUUAAGUCUCUUGGAGGUAGAGCACUGUUUGAUUGAGGGGUCCAUCCCGGAUUACCAAUAUCAGAUAAACUCCGAAUGCCAAUGAGAUAUAAUCGGCAGUCAGACUGCGAGUGCUAAGAUCCGUAGUCGAAAGGGAAACAGCCCAGACCACCAGCUAAGGUCCCAAAAUAUAUGUUAAGUGGAAAAGGAUGUGGGGUUGCACAGACAACUAGGAUGUUAGCUUAGAAGCAGCUAUUCAUUCAAAGAGUGCGUAAUAGCUCACUAGUCGAGUGACCCUGCGCCGAAAAUGUACCGGGGCUAAAACAUAUUACCGAAGCUGUGGAUACCUUUUAGGUAUGGUAGGAGAGCGUUCUAUGUGUGAAGAAGGUGUACCGUGAGGAGCGCUGGAACGCAUAGAAGUGAGAAUGCCGGUAUGAGUAGCGAAAGACAGGUGAGAAUCCUGUCCACCGUAUGACUAAGGUUUCCAGGGGAAGGCUCGUCCUCCCUGGGUUAGUCGGGACCUAAGGAGAGACCGAAAGGUGUAUCCGAUGGACAACAGGUUGAUAUUCCUGUACUAGAGUAUAUAGUGAUGGAGGGACGCAGUAGGCUAACUAAAGCGUGCGAUUGGAAGUGCACGUCUAAGCAGUGAGGUGUGAUAUGAGUCAAAUGCUUAUAUCUUUAACAUUGAGCUGUGAUGGGGAGCGAAGUUAAGUAGCGAAGUUAGUGAUGUCACACUGCCAAGAAAAGCUUCUAGCGUUAAUUAUACUCUACCCGUACCGCAAACCGACACAGGUAGUCGAGGCGAGUAGCCUCAGGUGAGCGAGAGAACUCUCGUUAAGGAACUCGGCAAAAUGGCCCCGUAACUUCGGGAGAAGGGGCGCUGGCUUUAAGUCAGCCGCAGUGAAUAGGCCCAAGCAACUGUUUAUCAAAAACACAGCUCUCUGCUAAAUCGUAAGAUGAUGUAUAGGGGGUGACGCCUGCCCGGUGCUGGAAGGUUAAGAGGAGCGCUUAGCAUUAGCGAAGGUGUGAAUUGAAGCCCCAGUAAACGGCGGCCGUAACUAUAACGGUCCUAAGGUAGCGAAAUUCCUUGUCGGGUAAGUUCCGACCCGCACGAAAGGCGUAAUGAUUUGGGCACUGUCUCAACGAGAGACUCGGUGAAAUUUUAGUACCUGUGAAGAUGCAGGU
rnacentral:rRNA from 1 species